AACGAACGCUGGCGGCAGGCUUAACACAUGCAAGUCGAGCGGGGUUUUCGGACCUAGCGGCGGACGGGUGAGUAAUGCGUAGGAAGCUGCCCGAUAGAGGGGGAUACCAGUUGGAAACGACUGUUAAUACCGCAUAAUGUCUACGGACCAAAGUGUGGGACCUUCGGGCCACAUGCUAUCGGAUGCGCCUACGUGGGAUU
rnacentral:rRNA from 1 species